rnacentral:rRNA from 1 species
UACGCUUGUUGGUGAGUAAUGGCUCACCAAGGGCGACGACGGGUAGCCGGCCUGAGAGGGCGACCGGCCACACUGGGACUGAGACACGGCCCAGACUCCUACGGGAGGCAGCAGUGGGGAAUAUUGCACAAUGGGCGAAAGCCUGAUGCAGCGACGCCGCGUGAGGGAUGACGGCCUUCGGGUUGUAAACCUCUUUCAGCAGGGAAGAAGCGAAAGUGACGGUACCUGCAGAAGAAGCGCCGGCUAACUACGUGCCAGCAGCCGCGGUAAUACGUAGGGCGCAAGCGUUGUCCGGAAUUAUUGGGCGUAAAGAGCUCGUAGGCGGCUUGUCACGUCGAUUGUGAAAGCCCGAGGCUUAACCUCGGGUCUGCAGUCGAUACGGGCUAGCUAGAGUGUGGUAGGGGGAGAUCGGAAUUCCUGGGUGUAGCGGUGAAAUGCGCAGAUAUCAGGAGGAACACCGGUGGCGAAGGCGGAUCUCUGGGCCAUUACUGACGCUUGAAGAGCGAAAGCGUGGGGGAGCGAACAGGAUUAGAUACCCUGGUAGUCCACGCCGUUAAACGGUGGGGAACUAGGUGUUGGCGACAUUUCACGUCGUCGGUGCCGCAGCUAACGCAUUAAGUUCCCCCGCCUGGGGGAGUACGGGCCGCAAGGCUUAAACUCAAAGGAAUUGACGGGGGCCCGCACAAGCAGCGGAACAUGGGGCUUUAUUCGACGCCACCCGAAAAAACCUUACCAAGGCUUGGCAUACCCCGGAAAAGACCCGAAAAUGGGGGCCCCCCCUUGUGGUCGGGGUUACAAGGGGGGGCAUGGCUGUCCUCACCCUCUUGUCCUGAAAAAUUUUGGGUUUAAAUCCCCCCA